UACGAAGGGGGCUAGCGUUGCUCGGAAUUACUGGGCGUAAAGGGCGCGUAGGCGGACAGUUUAGUCAGAGGUAAAAGCCCAGGGCUCAACCUUGGAACUGCCUUUGAUACUGACUGUCUUGAGUUCGGGAGAGGUGAGUGGAAUGCCGAGUGUAGAGGUGAAAUUCGUAGAUAUUCGGAAGAACACCAGUGGCGAAGGCGGCUCACUGGCCCGGUACUGACGCUGAGGUGCGAAAGCGUGGGGAGCAAACAGG
rnacentral:rRNA from 1 species